CAAACACUGUUAAUCUGAAGGUCCGCAGUUACAUUCGAAAUAUACUAGGAGAAAUCAACCGAAAUGCUCGAGACAUAUUAUUCCGAAAAACUUGGCGAUAAUUUCAUCAAAGUUGUUAUCAACAGUAUCAGCAAGGGCAGUUUGAUAAUUGAUCAUAUAGUUGUCACUAAGAAGACUGAGGAAGGAGGCACAAGACUGGCUAUGGCAGUUGCUGA